rnacentral:rRNA from 17 species
UGAUCCUGGCUCAGGAUGAACGCUAGUAGUAUGCUUAACACAUGCAAGUCGAACGGAAACUUGUUUUCGUGGCGAACGGGUGAGUAGAUGCAGAAUUUUUCCUUUUAGUUCAGUACAAAAAUUCUUUAUUGAAUUUAAAUUCUGGAUAAUAUAAAGGUUUGUUUUAUAUAUUCCGCUAAAAGAUAAAUCUGUUAAAGAUUAGGUUGUUGGUAAUUUAAUAGCUUACCAAGCCAUUGAUCUUUAGUUGGUCUUAGAGGAUGAUCAACCACACUGGAACUGAAAUAAGGUCCAGGCUGACAUGUCGGCCAGCAGUGAGGAAUAUUGGACAAUGAACGAAAGUUUGAUCCAGCAAUACUAACUGGGUGAUGACGGCUUAUUUAAGUUGUAAGAUCCUUUGAUUAAAGAAGAUAAUGACAUUAUUUAAUUGAAUUAGUCCUGGCUAAUACUCGUGCCAGCAGCCGCGGUAAUACGUAGGUGGCAAGCGUUAUCCGGAAUUAUUGGGCGUAAAGCGCG